UGAGGAAAUUGGGGUAUUUGUUGCCCGAAGCAGGUAGCUUAACCUUCGGGAGGGCGCUUGCCACGGUGUGGCCGAUGACUGGGGUGAAGUCGUAACAAGGUAGCCGUAUCGGAAGGUGCGGCUGGAUCACCUCCUUUUGAGCAUGACGUCAUCGUCCUGUCGGGCGUCCUCACAAAUUACCUGCAUUCAGAGAUGCGUAUCGGCACAGGCCGGUAUGCGAAAGUCCCAUCAUGGGGCCUUAGCUCAGCUGGGAGAGCACCUGCUUUGCAAGCAGGGGGUCGUCGGUUCGAUCCCGACAGGCUCCACCAUUUGAGUGAAACGACUUUGGGUCUGUAGCUCAGGUGGUUAGAGCGCACCCCUGAUAAGGGUGAGGUCGGUGGUUCGAGUCCUCCCAGACCCACCACUCUGAAUGUAGUGCACACUUAAGAAUUUAUAUGGAUCAGCGUUGAGGCUGAGACAUGUUCUUUUAUAACUUGUGACGUAGCGAGCGUUUGAGAUAUCUAUCUAAACGUGUCGUUGAGGCUAAGGCGGGGACUUCGAGUCCCUAAAUAAUUGAGUCGUAUGUUCGCGUUGGUGGCUUUGUACCCCACACAACACGACAGAUAGCUCCGAGGCAACUUGGGGUUAUAUGGUCAAGCGAAUAAGCGCACACGGUGGAUGCCUAGGCGGUCAGAGGCGAUGAAGGACGUGGUAGCCUGCGAAAAGUGUCGGGGAGCUGGCAACAAGCUUUGAUCCGGCAAUAUCCGAAUGGGGAAACCCACUGCUUCGGCAGUAUCCUGCAGUGAAUUCAUAGCUGCUGGAAGCGAACCCGGUGAACUGAAAUAUCUAAGUAACCGGAGGAAAAGAAAUCAACCGAGAUUCCCUAAGUAGUGACGAGCGAACGGGGAGCAGCCCUUAAGCUGGAAUGGCUUUAGAAAAACAAUCUGGAAAGAUUGGCCAUAGAAGGUGAUAGCCCUGUAUUUAAAAGGGCCACUCCAGUGAAGACGAGUAGGGCGGGGCACGUGAAACCCUGUCUGAAUAUGGGGGGACCAUCCUCCAAGGCUAAACUACUCCUGACCGACGAUAGUGACCAGUACUGUCGAGGAGUGUAUAAAUGACUCACGUGGAGGCGAGCUGCAAUGGAUCUGCAGAUCGUGUGGUCAGAGGCGCGCCGGGGACACA
rnacentral:sRNA from 1 species